rnacentral:rRNA from 1 species
AGCGGCGGACGGGUGAGUUAGGCGUGGGUAACCUGCCCUAUACACAUGGAUAACAUACCGAAAGGUAUGCUAAUACGAGAUAAUAUAAGAGAUUCACAUGGAUUUCUUAUCAAAGCUGAGGCGGUAUAGGAUGGACCCGCGUCUGAUUAGCUAGUUGGUAAGGUAACGGCUUACCAAGGCGACGAUCAGUAGCCGACCUGAGAGGGUGAUCGGCCACAUUGGAACUGAGACACGGUCCAAACUCCUACGGGAGGCAGCAGUGGGGAAUAUUGCACAAUGGGCGAAAGCCUGAUGCAGCAACGCCGCGUGAGUGAUGAAGGCCUUCGGGUCGUAAAACUCUGUCCUCAAGGAAGAUAAUGACGGUACUUGAGGAGGAAGCCCCGGCUAACUACGUGCCAGCAGCCGCGGUAAUACGUAGGGGGCUAGCGUUAUCCGGAUUUACUGGGCGUAAAGGGUGCGUAGGUGGUCUCUUAAGUCAGGAGUGAAAGGCUACGGCUUAACCGUAGUAAGCUCUUGAAACUGGGAGACUUGAGUGCAGGAGAGGAAAGUGGAAUUCCUAGUGUAGCGGUGAAAUGCGUAGAUAUUAGGAGGAACACCAGUAGCGAAGGCGGCUUUCUGGACUGUAACUGACACUGAGGCACGAAAGCGUGGGGAGCAAACAGGAUUAGAUACCCUGGUAGUCCACGCCGUAAACGAUGAGUACUAGGUGU